GGGGGGGGGGGGGGGGGGGGGUGGCGCGGGCGGGGCGAGCGGGAGGGCCGUGCUUUGGUGGGGUGCUCGAGUGGCGACCGGGUGAGUAACGCGUGAGUAACCUGCCCUUGACUUGGGGAUGACUUCAGGAAACUGGGGCUAAUACCGGAUCGGAGCUCCUGCUGCAUGGUGGGGGUUGGAAAGUUUCGGCGGUUGGGGAUGGACUCGCGGCUUAUCAGCUUGUUGGUGGGGUAGUGGCUUACCAAGGCGUUGACGGGUAGCCGGCCUGAGAGGGUGACCGGCCACAUUGGGACUGAGAUACGGCCCAGACUCCGACGGGAGGCAGCAGUGGGGAAUAUUGCACAAUGGGCGGAAGCCUGAUGCAGCAACGCCGCGUGCGGGAUGACGGCCUUCGGGUUGUAAACCGCUUUCGCCUGUGACGAAGCGUGAGUGACGGUAAUGGGUAAAGAAGCACCGGCUAACUACGUG
rnacentral:rRNA from 1 species